rnacentral:rRNA from 1 species
CCCAAACCAAUAAAGUUUUCUUUAUUGGGGUUGCGGACAUAUCAUAACGAAGAGGUAUCGUAAUUGAAGAGGUUUGGAAAGACCCACCACAGAAGGUAAUAGUCCUGUAUGUUAAACGAGAAGACUUUAGAUAUGAUCCAGAGUACCACGGGACACGUGAAACCCUGUGGGAAGCAGGAGGGACCACCCUCCAAGGCUAAAUACUACCUAGUGACCGAUAGCGUAUAGUACCGUGAGGGAAAGGUGAAAAGAACCCCGGGAGGGGAGUGAAAUAGAACCUGAAACCCUGCACUUACAAGCUGUGGAAGCACAUUUCUUGUGUGACCGCGUACUUUUUGUAGAACGGGCCAACGAGUUACGUUAAGUAGCACGGUUAAGCACUUAAGGUGUGGAGCCGUAGCGAAAGCGAGUUUUAACUGAGCGUUCAGUUACUUGACGUAGACCCGAAACCGGGCGACCUACCCAUGAGCAGGCUGAAGCGAAAGUAAAAUUUCGUGGAGGUCCGAACCCACGAGCGUUGAAAAGCUCGGGGAUGACUUGUGGGUAGCGGUGAAAUUCCAAUCGAGCCCGGAGAUAGCUGGUUCUCCCCGAAAUAGCUUUAGGGCUAGCCUCAAGGUGAGAGAUACGGAGGUAGAGCACUGAAUGUCCUAGGGGGUAUUGCACCUACCGAAGACUAUCAAACUCCGAAUGCCGUCAUCUUAUACUUGGGAGUCAGACUGUGGGUGAUAAGAUUCAUAGUCGAAAGGGCAACAGCCCAGAUCGUCAGCUAAGGUCCCUAAAUGUAAGUUAAGUGGUAAAGGAUGUGGGAUUGCACAGACAACCAGGAUGUUGGCUUAGAAGCAGCCACUCAUUCAAAGAGUGCGUAAUAGCUCACUGGUCGAGUGAUCCUGCGCCGAAGAUUUCCGGGGCUAAAACUUACUACCGAAGCUACGGCAUCAGUAAUGAUGGGUAGGGGAGCUUCCCAUAUGGGUUGAAGCAUGACCGUAAGGACAUGUGGACAGUAUGGGAGUGAGAAUGUUGGCAUGAGUAGCGAGAUGUGGGUG